UAGGGAAUCUUCGGCAAUGGACGGAAGUCUGACCGAGCAACGCCGCGUGAGUGAAGAAGGUUUUCGGAUCGUAAAGCUCUGUUGUAAGAGAAGAACGAGUGUGAGAGUGGAAAGUUCACACUGUGACGGUAUCUUACCAGAAAGGGACGGCUAACUACGUGCCAGCAGCCACGGUAAUACGUAGGUCCCGAGCGUUGUCCGGAUUUAUUGGGCGUAAAGCGAGCGCAGGCGGUUAGAUAAGUCUGAAGUUAAAGGCUGUGGCUUAACCAUAGUAGGCUUUGGAAACUGUUUAACUUGAGUGCAAGAGGGGAGAGUGGAAUUCCAUGUGUAGCGGUGAAAUGCGUAGAUAUAUGGAGGAACACCGGUGGCGAAAGCGGCUCUCUGGCUUGUAACUGACGCUGAGGCUCGAAAGCGUGGGGAGCAAACAGGAUUAGAUACCCUGGUAGUCCACGCUGUAAACGAUGAGUGCUAGGUGUUAGACCCUUUCCGGGGUUUAGUGCCGUAGCUAACGCAUUAAGCACUCCGCCUGGGGAGUACGACCGCAAGGUUG
rnacentral:rRNA from 1 species